UGUGUUUCAGUAUGACAGCAUCGAAUCAUUUUAAUUAUUACAGCUUAAUACUUGCAGGUGCUAAUGCUCAUGUGGUCCUUAUUCCGUGCCAGGAUCUAUUCUCAAUGCGUUACAUUUAAUUGUCACGACAACCCCCAGGAUCUGAGUGGAGGAAAAUACCCAGGACUGGUACAUUGGGAGCGUAGGUUGACACAACCUUUGGGAAUGCAUUUGCAAAAUGUAACAUACCCAGGUUCGAUAUCUGCAGGGAGCCAAUCUUCUGACCCUUUGGCAAGUUCAGGAAGAUGCGGUUCUUGUACUUCUCAUGGAUGAAAGGCUGAGUACUGUUGUAGAUGGCCUCCCCAUGGAAGUGUUUCCAUCUCAAGGCUAUACUCACUCUGGGAUCGUUGGCUAACUCCCAGCAGUAAUAGAAGGAGAAAUUGAUAUGGACGGAGCCACCCAUGGGGGCUGAGAG